GGUCAGCUGACACAUCCCUGCCAAUCUCCGGCAGACCCUCCCUCCCAGAUCCUCCUACUUCCUGGACAGCAUCCAUGUUGAAGGCAGCUUCAACAUGGAUGCUGUCCAGGAGGUGGGAGGGUCUGGGAGGGAGGGUCUGCCGGAGAUUGGCAGGGAUGUGUCAGCUG